rnacentral:rRNA from 1 species
ACGAAGGGGGCUAGCGUUGUUCGGAUUUACUGGGCGUAAAGCGCGCGUAGGCGGAUCUUUAAGUCAGGGGUGAAAUGCCGGAGCUCAACUUCGGAACUGCCUUUGAUACUGGAGAUCUUGAGUUCGGGAGAGGUGAGUGGAACUGCGAGUGUAGAGGUGAAAUUCGUAGAUAUUCGCAAGAACACCAGUGGCGAAGGCGGCUCACUGGCCCGAUACUGACGCUGAGGCGCGAAAGCGUGGGGAGCAAACAGGAUUAGAUACCCUGGUAGUCCACGCUGUAAACGAUGGAUGCUAGCCGUUAGGCAGCUUGCUGCUUAGUGGCGCAGCUAACGCUUUAAGCAUCCCGCCUGGGGAGUACGGUCGCAAGAUUA